CAGGGACUUAAUCAACGCAAGCUUAUGACCUGCAUUUACUGUAAAUUUACUGUGGCAGUGACCCAUUUGAACUCUGCCCUAAAGUUUCGAUGUUAGUUGCCAUGCCUACCAUGGGGGACCACGGGUGACUGGGAGUCAGGGUUUGAUUCCAGAGAGGGAGCCUGAGAAAUGGCUACCACAUCCAAGGAAGGCAGCAAGUGCGCAAAUACCCACUCCUGGCCUGGGGAGGAAAACCAGG
rnacentral:ncRNA from 1 species